GAUGAACGCUGGCGGCGUGCUUAACACAUGCAAGUCGAACGGUGAAGCCAAGCUUGCUUGGUGGAUCAGUGGCGAACGGGUGAGUAACACGUGAGCAACCUGCCCUGGACUCUGGGAUAAGCGCUGGAAACGGCGUCUAAUACUGGAUAUGAGCCUCUUCCGCAUGGUGGGGGUUGGAAAGAUUUUUUGGUCUGGGAUGGGCUCGCGGCCUAUCAGCUUGUUGGUGAGGUAAUGGCUCACCAAGGCGUCGACGGGUAGCCGGCCUGAGAGGGUGACCGGCCACACUGGGACUGAGACACGGCCCAGACUCCUACGGGAGGCAGCAGUGGGGAAUAUUGCACAAUGGGCGAAAGCCUGAUGCAGCAACGCCGCGUGAGGGAUGACGGCCUUCGGGUUGUAAACCUCUUUUAGCAGGGAAGAAGCGAAAGUGACGGUACCUGCAGAAAAAACGCCGGCUAACUACGU
rnacentral:rRNA from 1 species